rnacentral:hammerhead_ribozyme from 1 species
AUCCAGAUGACGAGUCUCAAAAAGGACGAAAUUUAUGUUCUGGAU